ACAAAAAGCCAACAAACAAACAGGAUAAGAAACACAGAGCAUUAGACAUUAGAAGAACAGGGGAAGAAAAAGGAAAGAAAAGAAAAGGGGAAAAUUGGGAUUUUAAAGCUUCAAGUUUGUUUGCUAACAAGGAAAACGAGGCAUCGGCAUCCAAAGGAAAAAAAAGAUCGUUGAGGAGUAAACUCGUAUUCUGGGUCAUUAGAUUUUUAGAUCCGGUCCAGCAUCCAAAACAAAACCGACUCCAACAAGAAAAUUUUGGUGACGUAUUUCUUCUUUUUAUUUAAGUGGCAUUUAUUAGGUGGUUGUACAUGAAUUAUAUAUAUAGCUUAAAUGAUCUUGCUGUAAUUAGAUAGUUAUGCAAUUUUGGAUGAUAAGUAAUUUAAAAGUUAUAAAUUAGUAAAUUUAGUAUUAAA